rnacentral:misc_RNA from 1 species
GAAACGCGAUAGUUAAUGUGAAUUGCAGAAUUCAGUGAAUCAUCGAGUCUUUGAACGCACAUUGCGCCCAUAGGUAUUCCUUUUGGCAUGUCUGUUUGAGCGUCAUUACAACCCUCAGCUAACCGCUGGUUUUGAACCUGAACGGGUGACACCGCGCCGGUUUUAAAGUUGUAAGCUCUGCUGGCCGCUCUGCCCAACCAGAACAUAGUAAGCACUACUUGUCCGGGUGAAGCUGAACGGUACGGCCUGAACAAAACCUACCCACUCUCAAGGUUUGACCUCAGAUCAGACAAGGAUACCCGCUGAACUUAAGC